rnacentral:rRNA from 1 species
UCCCCUAGUAGAGCGAUUGAACAGGGAAAAGCACAAGAUGUAAAGCUGUAGUAAUUUAUUUUAUUACCGCAUUGUAAUCUCAAGUUGCUAUACCAGUGAUGAUAGACGGAUAAUUCCUUUGGAGUGAGGAACCAUAGAAGGUGAGAGUCCUGUUGGCUGUCUAUUUAUUGCGCACGGUUAGUGAACAAAGAGUCGCGUUACUUGGGAAUGUAGCGCUAAGUGGGUGGUAAAUGUCAUCCAAUGCUAAAUAUUGAUGGGAGACCGAUAGCGAACAAGUACCGUGAGGGAAAGAUGAAAAGAACUUUGAAAAGAGAGUUAAAAGUGCCUGAAAUUGCUGGUAGGGAAGCGAAUUGCAUUGUACUUGCGAGGAAAGAUGUAUUUGUUGAAAGUAGAGUAAUUAUGAUGACCUUAAAAGCAUUGUAGUUAUAUAAGCUGAUAUGAGUGCUAUCCCUUUUCUUACCGGGUCUACGUUAAUUGCUAUUGUAUAAAAACCUUUUAUAUAUGGCUCCGGUUAUAUAUUUGAGAGACUAUACGAUGGUUGUUAAAAUCAUGGUGAAUAUCAUGUGUAGGCAAACCGAUGCACUUCGACCCGUCUUGAAACACGGACCA